UACGUAGGCGCCAAGCGUUAUCCGGAUUCAUUGGGCGUAAAGGGUCCGCAGGCGGAUCUACAAGUCUGAUAUUAAAGGUCCCGGCUUAACCGGGAACAAGUGUUGGAAACUGUAGAUCUAGAGGCCGGUAGAGGUUAUCGGAACUUAUCGAGUAGGGGUAAUAUCCGUUGAUACGAUAAGGAACACCAAAGGCGAAGGCAGAUAACUGGGCCGGUCCUGACGCUCAUGGACGAAAGCGUGGGGAGCGAACGGG
rnacentral:misc_RNA from 2 species